AAUUGAAGCCUUCAAUCCUCACAGUAGCUGGCUUGAUCCGGAAUUUCACCGGAGCACAGCCUCCUCCGCUCUUACGAGUGGAAGCAGAAGAUUGUGGUGGAGAAGGUGCAGCUUCUGGAAUUGCUAGUAUAGGAACAAAAUUUUUGUUGCUGAACUGUGAAUCCUGAAUCAGGGGAUUCGAUGCCCUACUCGGUGGAGAUCCGAAAAAAAACGGUGGAGAUGAAGCCAUAUCAAAAUUGGGCGUUUCCAUAUCGAAAUUCCCCUUGCUGAGGAUGAUAUCCAGAAGUUCAGUUCCGGCUUUCAAAUCGCAACCCUCCGGUUGCUGAUUAUUGAUUUGGAGGAAUCUAGAAGGUUUGAUAGGUUCAUUGGAAAGCCCAUUCCGGCGAGGCUUGGGACAAACAAGACCAUCAGAAACAGAAAUAUCUCGCCGUCUAAUUUCUCCAACACCAUCACAACCACCCAUCAAGGCCUUUUGCUGAUAACCACACCUAUUCAUUUUUUUUCCUUUUUCGUUUUUGAACAACAGAUCCAAAAAGCUGUGUGGGUGGGUGGCGCCUGUGAAAGGCGAAAAUGGAGGAGAGAGAUAUUUGGUGAACAAAGAGGAUGACGAACCAA
rnacentral:misc_RNA from 1 species